AGUGAAGCGGGAAAAGCUCAAAUUUAAAAUCUGGCAGUUGUUGACUGUCCGAGUUGUAAUCUAGAGAAGUGUUACCCGCGCUGGACCGUGUACAAGUCUCCUGGAAUGGAGCGUCAUAGAGGGUGAGAAUCCCGUCUCUGACACGGACUCCCAGGGCUUUUGUGGUAUGCUCUCAAAGAGUCGAGUUGUUUGGGAAUGCAGCUCAAAAUGGGUGGUAAAUUCCAUCUAAAGCUAAAUAUUGGCGAGAGACCGAUAGCGAACAAGUACCGUGAGGGAAAGAUGAAAAGAACUUUGGAAAGAGAGUUAAACAGUACGUGAAAUUGCUGAAAGGGAAACGCUUGAAGUCAGUCAUAUUGGCCAGAGCUCAGCCUUGCAAUUGCAUGGUGUACUUUCUGGUCAAUGGGUCAGCAUCAAUUUUGACUGCUGGAAAAAGGCUUAGGGAAUGUGGCAGCUUAUGCUGUGUUAUAGCCCCUUGUCACAUACAGCAGUUGGGAUUGAGGAACUCAGCACGCCGCAAGGCCGGGUUUUGACCACGUUCGUGCUUAGGAUGCUGGCAAAAUGGCUUUAAGCGACCCGUCUUGAAACACGGACCAAGGAGUCUAACAUGCCUGCAAGUGUUUGGGUGGAAAACCCGAGUGCGUAAUGAAAGUGAAAGUUGAGAUCCCUGUCAUGGGGAGCAUUGACGCCCGGACCAGAACUUUUGGGACGGAUCCGCGGUAGAGCAUGUAUGUUGGGACCCGAAAGAUGGUGAACUAUGCCUGAAUAGGGUGAAGCCAGAGGAAACUCUGGUGGAGGCUCGUAGCGAUUCUGACGUGCAAAUCGAUCGUCAAAUUUGGGUAUAGGGGCGAAAGACUAAUCGAACCAUCUAGUAGCUGGUUCCUGCCGA
rnacentral:rRNA from 1 species